rnacentral:rRNA from 1 species
UACAGAGGGUGCGAGCGUUAAUCGGAAUUACUGGGCGUAAAGGGCGCGUAGGUGGUUUAUUAAGAUGGAUGUGAAAUCCCUGGGCUUAACCUAGGAACGGCAUCGAUGACUGAUAAGCUGGAGUACUGUAGAGGGUAGUGGAAUUUCCGGUGUAGCGGUGAAAUGCGUAGAGAUCGGAAGGAACACCGGUGGCGAAGGCGGCGUUCUGGACUGCAACUGACACUGAGGAACGAAAGCCAGGGGAGCAAACGGG